rnacentral:rRNA from 1 species
AUACGAAGGGGGCUAGCGUUGCUCGGAAUGACUGGGCGUAAAGGGCGUGUAGGCGGUUGUAUACAGUCAGAUGUGAAAUCCCCCGGGCUUAACCUGGGAGCUGCAUUUGAGGCGUAUUGACUAGAGUGUGAGAGAGGGUUGUGGAAUUCCCAGUGUAGAGGUGAAAUUCGUAGAUAUUGGGAAGAACACCGGUGGCGAAGGCGGCAACCUGGCUCAUUACUGACGCUGAGGCGCGAAAGCGUGGGGAGC